rnacentral:tRNA from 1 species
GGUCUUGUGGCGGAAUGGUAGACGCUGUGGACUUAAAAUCCAUUGGUCAUUGCGACCGUGCGGGUUCAAGUCCCGCCAAGACCACCA